AGAGUUUGAUCAUGGCUCAGAACGAACGCUGGCGGCAUGCCUAACACAUGCAAGUCGAACGAGACCUUCGGGUCUAGUGGCGCACGGGUGCGUAACGCGUGGGAAUCUACCCUUUGGUUCGGGACAACCCAGGGAAACCUGGGCUAAUACCGGAUACGCCCCUCUCUGGAGACAGGGGGCGGGGAAAGGCUUGCUGCCGAAGGAUGAGCCCGCGUCGGAUUAGCUGGUUGGUGGGGUAACGGCCCACCAAGGCGACGAUCCGUAGCUGGUCUGAGAGGAUGAUCAGCCACACUGGGACUGAGACACGGCCCAGACUCCUACGGGAGGCAGCAGUGGGGAAUAUUGGACAAUGGGCGCAAGCCUGAUCCAGCAACGCCGCGUGGAGGACGACGGCCUUCGGGUUGUAAACUCCUUUCAGGGGGGACGACACGGACGGUACCCCCAGAAGCAGCCCCGGCUAACUCUGUGCCAGCAGCCGCGGUAAGACAGAGGGGGCAAGCGUUGUCCGGACUUACUGGGCGUAAAGCGCGCGCAGGCGGUGCCGUAUGUGCCCGGGGACACCCGCCCGCUCAACGGGCGACGGCCUGGGUAGACAGCGGCGCUGGAGGCAGGGAGAGGGUGAUGGAAUGCCCGGUGGAGCGGUGAAAUGCGUAGAGAUCGGGCGGAACACCAGCGGGGAAGCCGGUCACCUGGCCCUGACCUGACGCUGAGGCGCGACAGCGUGGGGAGCCAACGGGAUUAGAUACCCCGGUAGUCC
rnacentral:rRNA from 1 species